GCCGGAUUAGCUCAGUGGUAGAGCAACCGCCUUGUAAGCGGUAGGUCAUCAGUUCAAAUCCGAUAUCCGGCACCA
rnacentral:tRNA from 89 species